GGAAAGAUGCUCGAGUGGUUGAAGAGGCACGCCUGGAAAGCGUGUAUACGCCAAAAGCGUAUCCGGGGUUCGAAUCCCCGUCUUUCCG
rnacentral:tRNA from 1 species